GCUCAGCUAGCUCAGUCGGUAGAGCAUGAGACUCUUAAUCUCAGAGAAGUGGGUUCAUGCCCCCCAUUGAGCA